rnacentral:rRNA from 1 species
GGUUAACGUCAUCUGAAACGCAUUCCCUCGUUCCGUUAUUCCUCCCCAAGAAAAGAACUUUACAACCUUCCGGCCUUCUUCAUUCACGCGGCGUCGCUCCGUCAGGCUUUCGCCCAUUGCGGAAGAUUCUUAG